rnacentral:sRNA from 1 species
CUUCCCUGGCCCCGGAGGCGCCCAACCUGCUCGCGACACAGGGGCUCGCGCCCUGUUUCAUCAGAAAUCCCAUGCCAAUACACCUUAGAGAGUGUAUAGCCAAACCAAUAUCUUGGUUUUUAAACUGGUGGAUGGGAUGCACCGCGGCACGCAAGUUAACUAUCGAAUUCGAAUGCCAAAAAAGGUCAAUAACAUCGAAGUCCCAC